UGGGGAAUAUUGCGCAAUGGGGGGAACCCUGACGCAGCCAUGCCGCGUGAAUGAAGAAGGCCUUCGGGUUGUAAAGUUCUUUCGGUAAUGAGGAAGGGAUGUUGUUAAAUAGAUAGCAUCAUUGACGUUAAUUACAGAAGAAGCACCGGCUAACUCCGUGCCAGCAGCCGCGGUAAUACGGAGGGUGCGAGCGUUAAUCGGAAUAACUGGGCGUAAAGGGCACGCAGGCGGACUUUUAAGUAAGAUGUGAAAUCCCCGAGCUUAACUUGGGAACUGCAUUUCAGACUGGGAGUCUAGAGUACUUUAGGGAGGGGUAGAAUUCCACGUGUAGCGGUGAAAUGCGUAGAGAUGUGGAGGAAUACCGAAGGCGAAGGCAGCCCCUUGGGAAUGUACUGACGCUCAUGUGCGAAAGCGUGGGGAGCAAACAGGAUUAGAUACCCUGGUAGUCCACGCUGUAAACGCUGUCGAUUUGGGGAUUGGGCUAUAUGCUUGGUGCCCGAAGCUAACGUGAUAAAUCGACCGCCUGGGGAGUACGGCCGCAAGGUUA
rnacentral:rRNA from 1 species